rnacentral:rRNA from 1 species
GACAGAGGAUGCAAACGUUAUCCGGAAUGAUUGGGCGUAAAGCGUCUGUAGGUGGCUUUUUAAGUCCGCCGUCAAAUCCCAGGGCUCAACCCUGGACAGGCGGUGGAAACUACCAAGCUGGAGUACGGUAGGGGCAGAGGGAAUUUCCGGUGGAGCGGUGAAAUGCGCAGAUAUCGGGAAGAACACCCGUGGCGAAGGCGGUUCUCUGGGACGGUACUGACGCUGAGACGCGAAAGCGUGGGGAGCGAACAGG